rnacentral:misc_RNA from 1 species
AAGUCGUAACAAGGUUUCCGUAGGUGAACCUGCGGAAGGAUCAUUAAUAAAAUUACAAACUUGAAUGCUUUUUUACAGCAUUUAAGGAACAUUUUUUUUAAUGUUCUGACCCUUUACCCCUUGUGAAAUGUAUUAAUUGAUUUUGGCAGUUUUAUUUCGAAAAAGAAAAAGCUUUUUUUUUUUUUUUUUGAAAUUUAAUCUUUUUUUUAAGAGAUUGCCAAACUUAUUUUUCUUAUAUAAACUCUAUAUUCUUUUUAAAAAUAUCGAUUGACUAAAAAAAAAAAUAUAAAAAAUUAUAAUUAAUUUUUUUAUAACUUUUGACAACGGAUCUCUUGGCUCUC